rnacentral:rRNA from 1 species
CCUGCGGGAGGCGGCAGUGGGAAAUAUGGCGCAAGUGGCGAAAGCCUGAUGCAGCAACGCCGCGGGAGUGAUGAAGGCCUUCGGGUCGUAAAACGCUGUCCUCAAGGAAGAUAAUGACGGUACUUGAGGAGGAAGCCCCGGCUAACUACGGGCCAGCAGCCGCGGUAAUACGGAGGGGGCUAGCGUUAUCCGGAUUGACUGGGCGUAAAGGGUGCGUAGGCGGUCUUUCAAGUCAGGAGUGAAAGGCUACGGCUCAACCGUAGUAAGCUCUUGAAACUGGGAGACU